rnacentral:lncRNA from 1 species
CACUCUGUUUCCUCCUCUCAGCGCUGUGACCAGUUAUUCUUCUGUCUAUUGACUGCUGCCCACAGCAUGAAGAAGCUCCUCAGAUCAAGGAUGAGAACACUCCAGAGGACCAUCUGCCCAGGGGUGACAGGUGCCACAGUUAGCUGAUCCUUCCCACAUCAAUCAUUAAUCAAGAAAAUGCUGCAACUGGCAUGCCCAGAGACCAAUCUGAUGGAGGCAACUUGAGGCUCCCUUUUCCCAGGUGACUCUAGAUAAACAA